rnacentral:rRNA from 1 species
UACGAAGGGGGCUAGCGUUGCUCGGAAUCACUGGGCGUAAAGGGUGCGUAGGCGGGUCUUUAAGUCAGGGGUGAAAUCCUGGAGCUCAACUCCAGAACUGCCUUUGAUACUGAAGAUCUUGAGUUCGGGAGAGGUGAGUGGAACUGCGAGUGUAGAGGUGAAAUUCGUAGAUAUUGGGAAGAACACCGGUGGCGAAGGCGGCGACCUGGUCCGACACUGACGCUUAGGCGCGAAAGCGUGGGGAGCAAACAGG